UACGUAGGGGGCGAGCGUUGUCCGGAAUUAUUGGGCGUAAAGAGCGUGUAGGCGGUUCGGUAAGUCUGCCGUGAAAACCUGGGGCUCAACCCCGGGCGUGCGGUGGAUACUGCCGGGCUAGAGGGUGGUAGAGGCGAGUGGAAUUCCCGGUGUAGCGGUGAAAUGCGUAGAUAUCGAGAGGAACACCUGCGGCGAAGGCGGGUUGCUGGGCUGAUACUGACGCUGAGGCGCGAAAGCCAGGGGAGCGAACGGG
rnacentral:rRNA from 1 species